CCCCUAGUAACUGCGAGUGAAGCGGGAAAAGCUCAAAUUUAAAAUCUGGCGGUUCUUGCAGCCGUCCGAGUUGUAAUUUAGAGAAGUGCUAUCCGCGCUGGACCGUAUACAAGUCUCCUGGAAUGGAGCGUCAUAGAGGGUGAGAAUCCCGUCUUUGAUACGGACUGCCAGGGCUUUGUGAUGCGCUCUCGAAGAGUCGAGUUGUUUGGGAAUGCAGCUCAAAAUGGGUGGUAAAUUCCAUCUAAAGCUAAAUAUUGGCGAGAGACCGAUAGCGAACAAGUACCGUGAGGGAAAGAUGAAAAGAACUUUGGAAAGAGAGUUAAACAGUACGUGAAAUUGUUAAAAGGGAAACGCUUGAAGUCAGUCGCGUUGGCUGGGGAUCAUCCUUGCUUUUGCUUGGUGUACUUCCUAGUCGAUGGGUCAACAUCAGUUUUGAUUGUUGGAUAAAGUUCAGAGGAAUGUGGCAUCUUUAGAUGUGUUAUAGCCUUCGUUCGUAUACAGCAGUUGGGAUUGAGGAACUCAGCACGCCGCAAGGCCGGGUAUUAUA
rnacentral:rRNA from 1 species